rnacentral:rRNA from 1 species
AGUGAACGCUGGCGGUAGGCCUAACACAUACAAGUCGAACGGCAGCACAGUAAGAGCUUGCUCUUACGGGUGGCGAGUGGCGGACGGGUGAGGAAUACAUCGGAAUCUACUUUUUCGUGGGGGAUAACGUAGGGAAACUUACGCUAAUACCGCAUACGACCUACGGGUGAAAGCAGGGGAUCUUCGGACCUUGCGCGAUUGAAUGAGCCGAUAUCGGAUUAGCUAGUUGGCGGGGUAAAGGCCCACCAAGGCGACGAUCCGUAGCUGGUCUGAGAGGAUGAUCAGCCACACUGGAACUGAGACACGGUCCAGACUCCUACGGGAGGCAGCAGUGGGGAAUAUUGGACAAUGGGCGCAAGCCUGAUCCAGCCAUACCGCGUGGGUGAAGAAGGCCUUCGGGUUGUAAAGCCCUUUUGUUGGGAAAGAAAAGCAGCAGGUUAAUACCCCGCUGUUCUGACGGUACCCAAAGAAUAAGCACCGGCUAACUUCGUG